CUGGGAGGACCAUCUCCUAAGGCUAAAUACUCUCUAGUGACCGAUAGUGAACCAGUACCGUGAGGGAAAGGUGAAAAGCACCCCGGAAGGGGAGUGAAAUAGAACCUGAAACCGUGUGCUUACAAGUAGUCAGAGCCCGUUAAUGGGUGAUGGCGUGCCUUUUGUAGAAUGAACCGGCGAGUUACGAUUUGAUGCAAGGUUAAGCAGUAAAUGUGGAGCCGUAGCGAAAGCGAGUCUGAAUAGGGCGUUUAGUAUUUGGUCGUAGACCCGAAACCAGGUGAUCUACCCUUGGUCAGGUUGAAGUUCAGGUAACACUGAAUGGAGGACCGAACCGACUUACGUUGAAAAGUGAGCGGAUGAACUGAGGGUAGCGGAGAAAUUCCAAUCGAACCUGGAGAUAGCUGGUUCUCUCCGAAAUAGCUUUAGGGCUAGCCUCAAGUGAUGAUUAUUGGAGGUAGAGCACUGUUUGGACGAGGGGCCCCUCUCGGGUUACCGAAUUCAGACAAACUCCGAAUGCCAAUUAAUUUAACUUGGGAGUCAGAACAUGGGUGAUAAGGUCCGUGUUCGAAAGGGAAACAGCCCAGACCACCAGCUAAGGUCCCAAAAUAUAUGUUAAGUGGAAAAGGAUGUGGCGUUGCCCAGACAACUAGGAUGUUGGCUUAGAAGCAGCCAUCAUUUAAAGAGUGCGUAAUAGCUCACUAGUCGAG
rnacentral:rRNA from 1 species